rnacentral:lncRNA from 1 species
GUUAUAUAGAGGCAAUCCUGUUUACUGGGUUCCCUCUUUGUAAAGUUGAGAAGAUGAACAGCCCCAGCUUCUAAGGGAGUUGAGAGUUAAAAGAGAAAAAAAAGCACAUUUUAAAAGCUACCUCAUACAAUGAUUAUUGUCAUUAUUAUUUGGUUCUGAGAGGAUACAGUCACUGUGUAUUCGGUGAGCAGGAAAAGUGUUGGGGUCUAAACGGUGCAUCUAGAAGAGUCUCUUCUGCCUCAGUGAGAGCAAAUCUCUCAGGGGAAAAAGACAAGUCUCCUUUGGCCAUAGCCAAUUGCCCGAUACUUCAUUUAUGCUCUCAGGAGACUGUGCAUUAGGUUCCAUAGACCUGCACAGAAUAGACAUGUGGCUUGAGGAUUGGUGAAAUUGACAACUUGGCUACAAUACCCUAAUUUAUGUCAGAUACAGACUGUAUGGAAUUUUUAAAGUGUGCUGCUCAGAAAGGAGCACAAAAAAUUUGCCUCUAUACUUACUGGUUCCUAGCACCAGUCUCUCUCAUGGACACAUGGAAGAGCUGUUCCAGGAUCACAGGCCUUGGAAAGUUUGGGCUUUGAGUUCCUGGCUAGUCUUACCUCCCUAUUAAUUUGCAUAAGAAUUUCUGGCCCAGUAAGGAGAUAGAACAUAGUGAGUGCAGGGACAGAAGACCUAGUUUUCAGUUUUGUUUUUCCUCCUCAUAGUGCCUACAAGCACGUAAUAUCCCUGUAUUUCGGGUUCUUUAGGG